AGUAAAGAUAGUAAGGGCAUACGGUGGAUGCCUUGGCUAUACUGGCCGAAGAAGGACGCGGUAAGCUGCGAAAAGCUACGGAGAGGUGCAAGCGACCAUUGACCCGUAGAUAUCCGAAUGGGGGAACCCGGCAGAGUAAAGCUCUGUCACCCAUACCAGAGAGUAUGAGGAGGGCACCUGGGGAACUGAAACAUCUAAGUACCCAGAGGAAAAGUAAUCAAACGAGAUUCUCUUAGUAGCGGCGAGCGAACGGGGAAGAGCCCAAACCGGACUGGUUCGCCAGACCGGGGUUGAGGACUGCUAACAAGCAUAAAUGGGAUAGACGAACCGACUUGGAACGGUCGGCCGAAGAAGGUGAAAGCCCUGUAGUCGAAAUCCUGCAUAUGUGGAGCAGUAUCCAGAGUACCACGAGACACGUGAAACCUUGUGGGAAGCAGGGGGGACCACCCUCCAAGGCAAAAUACCAGUAUGGACCGAUAGCGCAUAGUACCGUGAGGGAAAGGUGAAAAGCACCCCGGGAGGGGAGUGAAAGAGAACCUGAAACCGUAUGUCUACAAACAGUCGAAGACCGUAUAAUUGCAGGUCGACGGCGUGCCUAUUGAAGAAUGAACCGGCGAGUUACUGUCACUAGCGAGGUUAAGCGGAAAACGUGGAGCCGAAGCGAAAGCGAGUCUGAAUAGGGCGAGGAGUUAGUGGUAGUAGACCCGAAACCGUAGUGAUCUAUCCAUGGCCAGGUUGAAGCACAGGUAAAAUUGUGUGGAGGACCGAACUCGUGAGCGUUGAAAAGCUUUGGGAUGAGUUGUGGAUAGGGGUGAAAUGCCAAUCGAACACGGAGAUAGCUGGUUCUCCCCGAAAUAGCUUUAGGGCUAGCCUCAUGGUAAAGAGUAUAGGCGGUAGAGCUCUGAUCGGGCUAGGGCCCACACCGGGUACCGAACCUAGUCAAACUACGAAUGGCUAUACUUAUACAUGGGAGUCAGACUAUGAGUGAUAAGGCCCAUAGUCAAGAGGGAAACAGCCCAGACCACCGACUAAGGCCCCCAAUGCUGCAUUAAGUGGCAAAGGAUGUGGAGUUUCCAAAACAACCAGGAUGUUGGCUUAGAAGCAGCCACCAUUUAAAGAGUGCGUAAUAGCUCACUGGUCGAGAGACUCUGCGCCGAAAAUGUCCGGGGCUAAAAUGCAGAGCCGAAGUCGUGGCAAUGGUAGUAAUACCAUUGGGUAGGGGAGCGUUCUUAUUGGAUUGAAGCAGUACCGGAAGGAGCUGUGGACUGGUAAGAAGUGAGAAUGCCGGUAUGAGUAGCGAAAAGAAAGGUGAGAAUCCUUUCCACCGAAAGCCUAAGGGUUCCUGAGCAGCGAUCGUCGUCUCAGGGUAAGUCGGGACCUAAGCCGAGGCGGAAAAGCAUAGGCGAUGGACAACAGGUUGAAAUUCCUGUACUAGUAUGAAUUGUUUGAUCGAUGGAGUGACGCAAACAGGUAGGUUAGCAUGCGAUUGGAAGUGCAUGUUUAAGCGUGUAGGUUGAGUAAUAGGUAAAUCCGUUACUCUAAAAGCUGAGGCGUGAUGACGAGCUCAAAAGAGCGAAGUAAUUGAUCCUAAGUUGCCGAGAAAAGCUUCUAGGUAGAGACAUACUACCCGUACCAAAACCGACACAGGU
rfam:Veillonella sp. oral taxon 780 str. F0422 ctg1127947897862, whole genome shotgun sequence.